UCCUACGGGAGGCAGCAGUGGGGAAUCCUACGGGAGGCAGCAGUGGGGAAUCUUAGACAAUGGGCGCAAGCSUGAUCUAGCCAUGCCGCGUGAGUGAUGAAGGCCUUAGGGUMGUAAAGCUCUUUCGCCCGRGAAGAUAAUGACUGUACCAGGUAAAGAAGCCCCGGCUAACUCCGUGCCAGCAGCCGCGGUAAUACGGAGGGGGUUAGCGUUGUUCGGAAUUACUGGGCGUAAAGCGYGCGUAGGCGGAUCRGCAAGUYRGGGGUGAAAUCCCGGGGCUCAACCCCGGAACUGCCUUYAAAACUGYUGGUCUWGAGUUCGAGAGAGGUGAGUGGAAUUCCGAGUGUAGAGGUGAAAUUCGUAKAUAUUCGGAGGAACACCAKUGGCGAAGGCGGCUCMCUGGCUCGAUACUGACGCUGAGGUGCKAAAGUGUGGGGAGCAAACAGGAUUAGAUACCCUGGUAGUCCACACCGUAAACKAUGAWUGCCAGUCGYCGGGYAGWAUWCUGUUCGGUGACGCACCUAACGMAUUAAGCAU
rnacentral:rRNA from 1 species